AGUGAACGCUGGCGGUAGGCCUAACACAUGCAAGUCGAACGGCAGCACAGGAGAGCUUGCUCUCUGGGUGGCGAGUGGCGGACGGGUGAGGAAUACAUCGGAAUCUACUCUGUCGUGGGGGAUAACGUAGGGAAACUUACGCUAAUACCGCAUACGACCUACGGGUGAAAGCAGGGGACCUUCGGGCCUUGCGCGAUUGAAUGAGCCGAUGUCGGAUUAGCUAGUUGGCGGGGUAAAGGCCCACCAAGGCGACGAUCCGUAGCUGGUCUGCGAGGAUGAGCAGCCACACUGGAACUGAGACACGGUCCAGACUCCUACGGGAGGCAGCAGUGGGGAAUAUUGGACAAUGGGCGCAAGCCUGAUCCAGCCAUACCGCGUGGGUUAAGAAGGCCUUCGGGUUGUAAAGCCCUUUUGUUGGGAAAGAAAUCCAGCUGGCUAAUACCCGGUUGGGAUGACGGUACCCAAAGAAUAAGCACCGGCUAACUUCGUGCCAGCCGCCGCCGUAA
rnacentral:rRNA from 1 species